GACGUAGGGGGCCAGCGUUGUUCGGAAUUACUGGGUGUAAAGGGUUCGUAGGCGGUGUGGCAAGUCGGGUGUGAAACCUCCAGGCUCAACCUGGAGACGCCACCCGAUACUGCUGUGACUGGAGUCCGGUAGGGGAGCGUGGAAUUCCUGGUGUAGCGGUGAAAUGCGCAGAUAUCAGGAGGAACACCAGCGGCGAAGGCGGCGCUCUGGGCCUGUACUGACGCUGAGGAACGAAAGCGUGGGGAGCGAACAGG
rnacentral:rRNA from 1 species